ACGGGUGAGUAAUAUAUCGGAACGUGCCCAGUAGUGGGGGAUAGCCCGGCGAAAGCCGGAUUAAUACCGCAUACGACCUAUGGGUGAAAGCGGGGGAUCGCAAGACCUCGCGCUAUUGGAGCGGCCGAUAUCAGAUUAGGUAGUUGGUGGGGUAAAGGCCUACCAAGCCGACGAUCUGUAGCUGGUCUGAGAGGACGACCAGCCACACUGGGACUGAGACACGGCCCAGACUCCUACGGGAGGCAGCAGUGGGGAAUUUUGGACAAUGGGGGCAACCCUGAUCCAGCCAUGCCGCGUGCGGGAAGAAGGCCUUCGGGUUGUAAACCGCUUUUGUCAGGGAAGAAACGGCUUUCUCUAAUACAGAGGGCUAAUGACGGUACCUGAAGAAUAAGCACCGGCUAACUACGUGCCAGCAGCCGCGGUAAUACGUAGGGUGCAAGCGUUAAUCGGAAUUACUGGGCGUAAAGCGUGCGCAGGCGGUCUUGCAAGACAGAUGUGAAAUCCCCGGGCUUAACCUGGGAACUGCAUUUGUGACUGCAAGGCUGGAGUACGGCAGAAGGGGAUGGAAUUCCGCGUGUA
rnacentral:rRNA from 1 species